AUUAGCUCAGCUGGGAGAGCACCUCCCUUACAAGGAGGGGGUCGGCGGUUCGAUACCGUCAU
rnacentral:tRNA from 1 species